CAACUAAUUGCACAAGCUUCUCUAAGACUGGGGGGCGGGGAGGUCGGUCCACUCCUGCUUAGCAAAUAGUUGUCCCAAAGCAGUUCAAAGGGAAAGUGAAACUGACAUUCUCAAACUUUAUAUAAAAACCCACAGAAUAGAUCAGCAGGAGUCUAUCAGACAACCAGAGCUGCAAGAUGUCUACGAUCCCUAUGAUAUUUAUCUUUGGUGGUGUGAUCAUCAUCUGCCUGAUGCAACAAUACCUGGCAUAUAUGUCUUCUAAGAAUGUUGUUAACGUCUCCUGCCAGCAAGCCAAUGACGUACAUAUAUACCAGACCCAAGUCGUCAUAACAAACACACUGGAAAACUCAAGUGGAAAAAGCCGCCCACUGGAUCAUUUAAGAGAGAUCCAGCCUUUAAAGAAACAAAACUAGAGGCCAAAAUAAGUCCUCUUCCUUCCAGAUGUGCAUCAUCCGCUUCUUCCUUUCCUAGAAGACUGAGGGAGCUAUCUCUCACAGUGCGAGUAUUCGGAGGUAUAGGUGGAGCUCAGAAGUAGACACUUGCCUUGCCUGUAUUAGGACUUGAUUGAACCCCAAUACCACAAAAUUCUUUAUCUCCACUGAGAAAAUGGAAAUUUAAGAUGGGAGUCAAACAUUGUGUGGUGUUAACAUCCGUGAGCAUGGUUUAAUAUACAUACCGUAUGCUUGUUUUUCUGCUUGUGAACUUGUGAGAUAGAAAAACUACCAAGUCAUCCACUUUUACUUGUUAUCAUUCAGUCACAUAAUAAAUUUGGAUUGUGCA
rnacentral:lncRNA from 1 species